rnacentral:tRNA from 1 species
AAAAAGUUAGUUAUAAUAAUAACAUUAAUAUGUCAAGUUAAAAUUAUUAGUUGAGUCUAAUACUUUUUG